UAAAAUGCAUUGAAGAGAAGAGUAGAAGAUGGAAGUAUCUAAAGAGAGCUAGGGAAGGUGAAAGCUAGCGAUAUGGAAGUCUUUGAAGAUGGUCUUGGAGCAUAUAAUCUGAAUAGUUAGGGUUGUACGGAUGCAGCCGUUAUACUGCAAAGUGAUGAAAUUAACUUAGGUUAAGGAGUCACUUAUUGAGGUUUUUGAUGUAAAUCAAAGACGAAUUAGAGUGGUAACGCGUAAAUUACGCCUCUAAG
rnacentral:ncRNA from 1 species